UUACACAUGGUCUUUAUAGAUUUGGAAAAAGCGUAUGAUAGGGUCCCAAGAGACAUUCUUUGGAGGAUUUUAAAGAAGAAAGGAGUACGAGUAUUAUAUAUCCAAGCUAUAAAGGAUAUGUAUUUAGGAGCAAAAACUGUCGUAAGAACUCAUGAAGGACAAACUGAAAGCUUCCCCAUAACUGUAGGUUUACAACAAGGCUCAUCUUUAAGUCCUUACCUUUUUGCGUUGGUAAUGGAUGAGUUAACAGGACAUAUUCAAGAUGAUAUUCCUUGAUGUAUGCUUUUCGCGGACGAUAUAGUGUUGAUAGAUGAAACUCAGGAAGGGGUAAAUGCGAAGCUUAACCUUUGGAGAGAAGUGUUGGAAUCUAAAGGUCUUCGCCUAAGCCGAUAAAAGACAGAAUAUAUGGAGUGCAAGUUCAGUGCAAAUGGAGGUCAAAAUGAGUUAGGGGUGAGGAUCGGAGAUCAGGAAAUACCAAAGAGCAAUCGUUUUCGCUACUUAGGAUCUAUCUUGCAAAAGAACGGAGAAUUAGAUGGAGAUCUCAACCAUAGAAUACAAGUUGGAUGGAUGAAGUGGAAGAGUGCAUCCGGCGUGUUGUGUGACCGCCGUAUGCCACUGAAGCUCAAGGGAAAAUUUUAUAGGACGACAAUAAGGUCGGCGAUGCUGUAUGGCACAGAAUGUUGGGCAGUGAAACAUCAACACGUACACAAAAUGGGUGUAGAGAGGUGAGGAUGCUCCGUUGGAUGUGUGGGCACACGAGAAAGGAUAAGAUUAGGAAUGAGGAUAUCCGAGGUAAAGUAGGAGUAGCCGAAAUUGUAGGAAAGUUGAGAGAAAAUCGGUUACGGUGGUUUGGACAUGUGCAAAGAAGGCCUACUGACGCUCCGGUUAGAAGAUGCGACUACGGGAUAGAGGUUCAGGGCCGAAGGGGUAGAGGAAGACCUAGGAAAACUUUGGAAGAGACUCUACGAAAAGACUUAGAGUAUUUGGAUCUAACGGAGGACAUGACAUAAGACCGAGCGCAAUGGCGUUCUAAGAUUCAUAUAGCCGACCCCACUCAGUGAAGAAGACUUUGGUGUAUUUAACACAAUACGUUGGAAAUGAAGCAAAACUUAUUUAUUGAUAUCUCCAAUAAGUUACAAAUAUGUACAUAUACAUGAGUCAAAAUAAACAAACAAGAGGGAGCCUUCACAAAGGUUGCUUAGGAAAAGUCUCAGUAGUCGGUAGAGCCCUAGAAAGAGAAGGCACUGGAGGGGGAUCAUUCGGAGCCUCAGUACUGGACAGAACCCUAGAAGGAGAAGAUAUCAGAGGUUGAUCAUUUGGAGCUUCAUUAUGCGGUACAUCCCCAGAAGGCGAAGGCAAUAAAUGCCUUUGAAACAAUCCCACAAACCGCAAGUAAAACCUGACCAUCAGAUUCAUUCAUCUGGUCAAGCUUCCUCUUCAUGUUUGUAGCAUAGUUAUGUGCGAGCUGGUGCAACUGUUUAUUCUCAUGCUUGAGCCCUCUAAUCUCCUGUUUGAGACUUAUCACUUCAGCCGCCAAUGAUUCAACUUGGCGGGUUCGAGCAAAUAGGCGUUGGGCCAUAUUAGACACAGAACCUGCACACUGAACACUCAGAGCUAGAGAAUCCUUAACAGCCAACUCAUUAGACCGUUUGGAAAGUAGUUUGUUAUAUUUGGGAGUGAGAAGGUUCCUGGCCACCACCGCAGCAGUCAUAUCAUUCUUCAUCACGGAAUCCCCAAUGGUAAGAAGACCAGUAGGGGAUAAAAAGGAUGGGCGCCAUAUGUUGUCUAGAGAAGGCGUGGCUACCUCUUCAAUAAGAUUCAAGUCAAAACGAUAGUCGGAGGGGCCAGACAUUUUCAAAGGUGUUGAAGAGAGAAGAGGUCGGACAAAUCAAGAUCUUAGAAGUGCAAGAAGGGAGCUUCUAUUGGUGAAGAUUCAAGUGUGCUUUGGAACUUAAUGCCAGCCUCUAUAAAAAUCUGCACUCGACGGAGCUUCAGAAAUUGAAGAGGCGUUUGCUUUCUCAAAAGCUGGGCUGCUUAGAGACCACGAGGGCCGAUCUCAGAAAUCGAAGAGGCGUUUGCUUUCUCAAAAGCUGGGCUGCUCAAAGACCACGAAGGCCGAUCUCAGAAAUCGAAGAGGCGCUUGCUUUCUCAAAAGCUGGGCUGCUCAGAGACCACGAGGGCCGAUCUCAGAAAUCGAAGAGGCACCUGUUUUUUUCAGCCUUGUCAGCACCUGUCACAUGCACACUCAGCUUUGCUGAAAUUACGGGCAUUCUGUUGAAGAUUUAUGGUGAAGUAGAAGCACGUGAAUUUUACUGUUCAAUCAUCCACUUUUCACACGCACCAUCAGCUUAUGGGUACCACAGAUAACUUUGCCAAAGAUCUCUGACAAAGUUUAGACAUGUGAAGCUUGCAGCUCCCACUACAUCGCUAUGACCAAGAAGGGUAAAAGAACAACAAAGAAACAGCACUAACAAAGUUUAGACACAUAAAUUUUGAAGGUCUAGCUAUCAUAUUAUUACCCAUAAGGGUAAAGGAACAGCACCACUGCUGGAUAAUUGGAAAGUCCCUGUGUGUCAACCUCUGUGCUCCGUGGCAAGGUAGACUAGCAAACAUGCCCAACCUUUACUCACAUUCGAGAAAACACUCCCAACAAGAUUGCUUGCUCCAAAAUCGAAAAGGCAUCGUCCUCCGAAUCUUGAAAGCUAGACUCCCAACAUGAUUACUUUCUCAAAAGUUGAAGAGACACCGCUCUCCGUAUCUCGAGAACCAGACUCCCAGCAGGAUUGCUCUCUAAAAAAUCAAAGAAGCACCGUUCUCCUAAUCUCGAUAGCCAGAUCCCCGACAGGAUUGCUUGUUCGAAAGACGAAGAGACACCGUUUUCUCAACUUCGAGAGCCAGAUCUCCUUGGAUAAAGCUUGUCUGUAAUCUUCACACGCAACAUCAGCUUUCUAGAUACCACAGACCACUUUUUCAAAGUGCUCUGACACACGUGAAGCUGGCAGCUCCCACUACCGUGCUAUGACCAAGCAGGGUAAAGGAAUAGCAUUACUACUUGUUGUUAGGGAAACUCCUAUAUAUGUCAACCUCUAUCCUCAACGGACAGGCAGACCUGCAAAAAUGCUCAACCCUUCCUCAUAUCUGAGAGGGCACUCCCAACGACGCCUCUCGAAAUACUCAGCUUUUUUCCCCCCCGAUAAUACCUCUGCAAACAAGCUACACCAGAGCAAGAAUAUCUCAUAUCAUCAGGGUUAAAAGCAAGAGUAUCCCAUAUCAUGCUUUUUCCCUGUCUUUUCCUUUGGCCUUGUUCUUACCUGCAAGACAAGGAGAAAGAGAGCAAUCAGUCAGCACUUGGAAUCAAGCUUCCAGUCAGGAACAGACUGCCUGGAACCCCUUACAUGAUUACUUACCUGGCAUUGCUCUCGAGUACUCAUCUUCAACAUCUUAUGCUUCCAGAGAAGAUACCACAUCUGCCUGAGGAACCGAUAGGGAAAGUGAGAAGGAUACAAGGAAGCAUGUGGGGACAAGCGUAACAGAACACGUGCCAAUACAUCCACUACUUUUUCAACAGCAAAAGUAUCCCAUAUCAGCAGGGUCGAACGUACUAUAGAUUUGAUGGACUUGUUUUAACCCUCAAAUUCUUCAGUCGGCCUUAUACUCUGGAGGAAACCAGAAAACCCUCCAGCCCAGUUCAAGAAUAAGCCUGUGGAAAGUUACUUCUUCAAAGCAAAAGUAUCUCAUAUCAUCUAUUCUCCUUUUCUUCUCUUUAUCCUUCAUGCUGCCUGCAAGAUAGGGAGAAUGAGAACAAUUAACCGGAACUCGAAAUCAAAUUUCUGAUCUGGGACUGUUUGCUUGGAGCUCUGAUUGCUUACCUUGUCUGUCACCUCUUUCAGCAGAUCCCCAAGCUCGGCGACUUGGAGGACUCCUACUACAUGGUUUGUAUCGCGCUUGACCAAGCCUGAAACUACAAGUAAGCUUCAAGUGAAAUUGAUACAUUACCUUGUGCAUCUCCACCAAUUAAAGAUACCACCCCUGGAUAGAGGAAGAGUACUUCCAGAGAAGAUGCCACAUCUACCUAUGAGACAGAUAAUGCAAGUGAAGACGAUACUACACUUCGGUAUUUAGAAGUUUCGUGAUUACGAGAUCAUUCUCCCACAAUAUUUCCUAAUGUCUUUUGUACUAAAUCAUUCACUUGUACUCACUAAAGGAAAGCUUGAACCUAUGUACUUGUGUAAACCCUUCACAAUUAAUGAGAACUCCUCUACUCCGUGGACAUAGCCAAUCUGGGUGAACCACGUAUAUCUUAUGUUUGCUUUCCUGUCUCUAUCCAUUUACAUACUUAUCCACACUAAUGACCAGAGCAAUCUAGCGAAGCUCACAAACUUAAUACUUUCUGUUGUACCAAAGUCCUCACUAAUUUUGUGCAUCAACAAUCCUUAAGUCCUUACCUUUUUGUGUUGGUAAUGGAUGAGUUAACAGGACAUAUUCAAGAUGAUAUUCCUUGGUGUAUGCUUUUCACAAAUGAUAUAGUGUUGAUAGAUGAAACUCAUGAGGGGUAAAUGCGAAGCUUAACCUUUGAAGAGAAGUGUUGGAAUCUAAAGGUCUUCGCCUAAGCCGAUCAAAGACAGAAUAUAUGGAGUGCAAGUUCAGUGCAAAUGGAGGCCAAAAUGAGUUAGAAGCGAGGAUCGGAGAUCAGGUAAUACCAAAGAGCGACCGUUUUCGCUACCUAGGAUCUAUCUUGCAAAAGAACGGA
rnacentral:lncRNA from 1 species